GGCUUCCUGGGCACGUCACAGUCCGGUGAUGUCAUGGGCUGCCGCCCCCUCUCCCCGAAGCCGGGGUUGAGCCACCUCUCGGCUCCCGCAGCCCGAGAGCCCGAGAGCGAGCGGGAGCCAGAGCCAGUCCCCAGAUCGGCAUCUUUCCGUUCCCACUGGUGCCAAGUCAUCCCAUAGGACACUCGGAGUCUGUUCUGUUCCAGCAACGGUGCGAGGCACCGGGGGUGACAACAGUGAACCCAAAGACCUUCUCGCCUUCGUGGAGCUCAUGAUUAGAGAAAAAAAAGCUAGGGUGAGGGGAUUAAAACAUGAAAGAGCAAGACACUAAAAAGGAACACAGGUUUUAGAAGGAAUUUCUAGAAUUAGAAAAACUAUUGAAAUUCAGGUCUCAAAGGAUGAGACAAAAAAGUAGAUUAGAUAUAGAAGAUAAGCCACUGAACUGGAAAAUAGAUCAGAAGCAACUCACCAGAGAAACUAGGUGAUGGGCAAUGUAAAAGAGGAAGUGAGUCUUCUCACUUCAGUCCUAUCACAGGCCCAAUCAGAAUUCCAGAAGGAGAGAAAAAAAAUGGGAGAGGCAGUACCUGAAGAAGAGCUUACAAACUUCAUUAAAGACCAGGAUUCUCACAUAAAAUCCAAAGCGGGAUAAAUAAAAGUAGCAUUUUGGCACUUUGUAAUGAAUUUGCAGAACUCCAAAGAGAAGAUAGAAAAAUGGUGAGCAACUCAACUGGCAAACAUGUGAGUAGAUCUAAAACACAGUGGAACAUGAACAGUGACGGUUAAUCUGUGGAGUACAAAACAAGAAAGGACACAACUGGGUUAACAUUUAAAUAUAACAAAGCACAGAUGUUAAGUGUGUGAGGAGUUUUGACACCGUACAGCCCAAACUCCUACAAAAAUACUGAACACUACCAUCACCUCUUGAGAAAGUUCCCUUCUGCCUCUCCUCAGUCCAUUUCCACCCUCACCUCAAGAUGUAACCACCAUUCUGAGCUUUUCACUAUAGGUUAGUCUCAGCUGGCUAGAACUUCAUAUAAACAGACCCAUACAGUACAGGCUUUUGUAUCUGGCUUCUUUACCUCAAUAUGAACCUCUUGUCAUUACAGACCUCAGCAGACCGUUUAUUUUUAUUGCUGGGUAGUUUCCAUUGUGUGGAUGUAGCACAGUUUGGUCAUCCAUCCUCCUACCAACGGACACCUGGACUGUCCAGCUUUUGGUGAUUACAAUAAAGAUGCUAUGAACAUUCCUGUAA